rnacentral:rRNA from 1 species
ACCCCGAGGAAAAGAAAUCAACCGAGAUUCCCCCAGUAGCGGCGAGCGAACGGGGAGGAGCCCAGAGCCUGAAUCAGCAUGUGUGUUAGUGGAAGCGUCUGGAAAGGCGCGCGAUACAGGGUGACAGCCCCGUACACAAAAGCGCAUGUGCUGUGAGCUCGAUGAGUAGGGCGGGACACGUGGUAUCCUGUCUGAAUAUGGGGGGACCAUCCUCCAAGGCUAAAUACUCCUGACUGACCGAUAGUGAACCAGUACCGUGAGGGAAAGGCGAAAAGAACCCCGGCGAGGGGAGUGAAAAAGAACCUGAAACCGU